GCUUAGUUACACCUGUGCUUUUCCUGCUAUGGCCAGUUAAAUGUGCGCCUUGUAAAAGGGCAUAGUCUACCAGUAAUGUCUGUCUUUAGAAGGAAAUACAUAGCAGACCAUAAUUUUGACAAGGUGAAAUUGCAGCCAUGUUAUCUGUUCAUCUUCGUGCUAUUCCAGUGGCCAACAACAACCAGACCUUCUCAUGAAACCAGAGAGACACCGAGAGAGACAGAGGAAGACGUGAAGACGGAGCGCAUGUCAGGUAUAAUUGGUGUCUUGUUUACACAACAGCGCACUUGGCAACACACCCUUACAGGAAGAAUGACAAAUGUCAAAUUUGGGCAUGAGAUGAUUUUUUCCCCAGCUGAAUGAAGGAAUAAAUGCUUUAAAAUUGCA